GAAUAAGAAGGUCCGGCUAACUUCGUGCCAGCAGCCGCGGUAAUACGAAGGGACCUAGCGUAGUUCGGAAUUACUGGGCUUAAAGAGUUCGUAGGUGGUUAAAAAAGUUGGUGGUGAAAUCCCAGAGCUUAACUCUGGAACUGCCAUCAAAACUUUUUAGCUAGAGUAUGAUAGAGGAAAGCAGAAUUUCUAGUGUAGAGGUGAAAUUCGUAGAUAUUAGAAAGAAUACCAAUUGCGAAGGCAGCUUUCUGGAUCAUUACUGACACUGAGGAACGAAAGCAUGGGUAGCGAAGAGGAUUAGAUACCCUCGUAGUCCAUGCCGUAAACGAUGUGUGUUAGAUGUUGGAAAUUUAUUUUCAGUAUCGCAGCGAAAGCAAUAAACACACCGCCUGGGGAGUACGACCGCAAGGUUAAAACUCAAAUGAAUUGACGGGGACCCGCACAAGUAGUGGAGCAUGUGGUUUAAUUCGAAGAUACGCGCAGAACCUUACCAACACUUGACAUGUUCGUUUCGACUCUAAGAGAUUAGAGUUUUCGGUUCGGCCGGACGAAACACAGGUGCUGCAUGGCUGUCGUCAGCUCGUGUCGUGAGAUGUUGGGUUAAGUCCCGCAACGAGCGCAACCCUUACUUUUAGUUGCCACCAUUUAGUUGGGCACUCUGAAAGAACUGCCAGUGAUAAGCUGGAGGAAGGUGGGGAUGACGUCAAGUCCUCAUGGCCCUUAUGUGUUGGGCUACACACGUGCUACAAUGGCAUUUACAAUAGGAAGCAAGAUGGUGACAUUAAGCAAAUCCUAAAAAAAUGCCUCAGUUCGGAUUGUACUCUGCAACUCGAGUACAUGAAGCUGGAAUUACUAGUAAUCGCGGAUCAGCGCGCCGCGGUGAAUACGUUCCCGGGUCUUGUACACACCGCCCGUCACACCAUGGGAGUUGGUUCUACCUUAAGGCAAGGU
rnacentral:rRNA from 1 species